UAAUAAAUCAUUAUUGAAAACGUAUGAUUUUUUUCUCUGGUUUUUUCAUUGCACCCCCGAGGACGCCAGAUGAACGGUUUAGAGUCUGAUGUAAACGGCGUCUCAUUUUUCGGUGAUCAUAAUCGACUGCAUGGGAACUACAUUAGCGGCGUCUCGACAAGUGGUACGCUCAGCUGCAAUAGCUGACUCCGGUCAAGUGUCAUUUUCCCAAUUAUUCACCACGUGUAAACUCUACAAAAGCAAUACCGGUGUAUACUCAUAUUGUGUGCCAAGUAUAUACUAUAUAUACCUACACGUGUACAAAUUUUGAGCUGCCAUCGGCGUGCGAAUAAAAAAGAUACGAGUUAUGGUGACCUUUGGACAAAAGUACUAUACGCGCAAUCGUUCAUCUCUCCUGUACAAAUUGGCACACACACUGGAAAUCACUGUAUUUUUUAUAUACCGAUUCAGUUUAUCGUAUUAUGAUAUAAAUGAUAAACUAUAGAAAUAAUUGUUUUGGACGUUUUAGUAAGGAACGCGGUUUCAGUCUUAUACUCCAUCGUGGGCCCUCUUAUUGUAGCCAGUGUUUAGGUUCCGUGUGCGAUCGUCUUACCACAUUUAUACUGUAAUACAUUCGUUUUGCGGUGACGACAAAGAACGUGCUCAACAUCCCCGCUGCCGACACUUCCACCACUCGUCAAUAAGCCAACACUCAACAGACCAUAAAACGAAAUACUUGGCGUCCACAUACGAGGAUCGAAAUAAUAAUAAUAAUAAUAAUUACACUUUGGAGCGUGAAAAAUGACUAGAAUUUAUUUCUAGAGAACGUCGUGGUGUUCCGAAUAUCAUCUAUAAAACGUACCCAGAGGAGUAAUCGUUUCUUUAUCGGUGCCGACAUUGUGUGUUGUAUGACUUUACAGACUAUAUAGCUCGACGUGUUGCAGUGCCAAUAACAACUCUGGGGUUCCUAUAUCCCAUUCUAAAUCGCACUCCUGCCACAACCGUAUGAAAACAAAAAUAUAAAAACAGACUUCUUCCAAAAAUAUGUUUUGUCCUAUAAAAUGCUAUAAUUUACUGCAGCUGAAAGCCUGAGAAACAACAUGUGUUGAAUUAUCUCGGUGAAACCGUUCACUUCUAGAAUUGUUGUAUAGUAAUUUAUCAUCCAGUGACAUCUAUAGACACAUGUUUCAUAUCGG